CAGAUAUCACUUGCAUUACUUACCAUCAAGAUGAUUGCACCAGUUGUAUUCAUAUGGUUAUUAUCAGCAUCAUCGCUCGCCUUGUCGGUAUCUCCUACGCCGACACCCAUGCCCGUGUCUUAUACGGCGCCACCACCGUCACCAUGUAUUUGUAGAGAUGGAAAGAGGAUAAAUCCGGGAGAGCUUCAUUAUGUAUCAGAUUGUAUUUAUUGUCCUUGUUCUCUAGAGUAUGGUGUGGGCAGCUUUGCUGAUAGUUGUCCGCCCAUCGAAUGUGUUGAUUUUGAUAAUACACCGGAUGAUGGUAUUUGCUGCCCUCCCUGUCCCAAUGGUCCCAACUGUCAGGUUCUAGUUAAUGGUGUCAGAUAUAUUAUUCCUGAUAAUGGUACAGUGCCGUUUCGUGGAGGUACCUGCACUUGUCGUCCUUUUGACCGAACUCGAUACCAUACUCUAGACUAUCAUUUAUCUAUAUAUUCCCCUAGAACAGCAGACUGUGAACAGCCACCUCCACCACCAACAUCACCCGUCAAUUAAUAUCCCUAAUCCUCCAGGUCAAUCUCCUGUAAUCUGGAGAACAGAGGGUUCUAAUGGAUAUUUGACACUAAACUCGUAUUGGAUGACGAAUUCAUAUACAAUCAACCAAUACUAUUAAAUACACUACUCACUAU